UACGACUAUCACAAUUUGUUUUGCUACAUACCAUCAGUUCAUCACAAUUAUUACUCUAUGUCGAUUAUGGUUUGUUACUACAUACAAACAUCAUUUAAACCAUCACUCGAUCUCCAACUAUUAGUGACAGGUUCAUGUCUAGAACCGACAAUACUGUAUAUAUAUAUUUAGUUCUAUCAGUCCUUGUUACGAAUCUACUAUGAUAAUUGCAACACUAUAAGGUGGGAAAUUAAACUUUACUAUUGGGCAAUAGUUGUAUGACACUAGAACACACCAUCAAAAUUAGAUGAUGAUGAUAGUAAUAAUAGUAGUAAUAGUAAUGACGAUGAUGAUGAUGAAUUAUAUCAUGGUGCAGUGCAGUUUGAUAUAGCUAUAUUGCCACUUGACUCUCCAGAUUAUACUCAUUUUUAAACAUAUAACAUGCGUGUAUCUUGAUUGAAUCUAGCUUUUUCAAAAAUCAGGAAUCAUACAUUUAGGAUUUUUAUGUGAAUAUGGCUAGCUCGUAGGCAUGAGUCAAAUGAUGAUUAUAUUUAGUUUACUAUUACGAUAAAUAUAUUUCUUUUAAAAUUAUUAUUUUUGAAAAGUACUCUGAAUAGUUCUGUUUGUACCAAAGCUUGGUAAUUUUAUGUCCAAUGGAGUAUAUGGAAAGAAUCCGAUAAUGAAGAAGUUUUAUCAGCAUGGACUCUAUAAAAGGAAAAUUGGAGUCCGUGUAUAUUGAUAUUUCCUUUUAGUUUAGAUUUUCUAAGUUAGACAAGUCUUGUACAAACUCAACCACCCGGAGCUAUUAGUCCAGGUUAUAAAUACGUACUACCUCCAUACUCGAAAGAAAGUCAUUUUCGACAAUGACAUGGUCUCCAAAGUUUAACUUUGACUUCUUAUUUUUAUAAAAAUAUUUAUUACAAAGUGAUAUAUUCAUAUGACUUUUGUAUUUUGAAACUCAACAACUUAAAAGUUAUUCACGAUUUAUAUUCCCAAUGUUUGACUCAAAUCUUGUCCAAAAUGACUUUCUUUUCGGGUAUGGAGGGAGUGCUCUGACCAUUGUAAUUUUAUCCAUUUUACACAAUUUUUUAAAUAAGAUGAGUGGUCAAAUUUUGGGUAAAAAUAUUAAAUGAAUUAUUAUUUGAACGUAGGGAGUAGUCAUUAAGCAAGGUAUAGCAGGAAUACAAGAAUACAUGGUCUUUCGAGGGCCAGAGGCUGGGUUAGCUCUCAGGUUCAUUGAAACCUUAAGUGGAAAGUCAUGUUCUCUCUAUGAUAUACCUGGCCAGCGACCCCCAAAUAUAUAUAUGGUCUUUGGAGACUAAAAAGAGGUCUACGGCCUUUAGCAAGUGCAUGUGCAUCUACGGGAAACUGUAUGGACUAGGGAAAAAAAACAACACCAGCCUGAGCUUUCUUUGCACAUCAAUGAGCUAACACAAAUUACAUCUCGACAACACAUGAAUUGAAACGAACUGAAAAACACAUGGUGCUAAUAUAUCCUAGAUUUCGAACAAAAUUUCCAGUCUAUGAAAAUUCACCACCAAAUAAUUUGUCUGAUUACAAAAUUAAUUUUUGUGUGCACCAACAAAUAGUACAAUUUGAUAAUGUUUGAUUGGAUAUUAGCAACUUAACCUUCUGUAGAACUAACAAGUAUUUUUACGAUCCUCGCAAAAAAACAAGUAUUUUACGUAGUAACUGUUUACAGGCAGCGAUUGCACGCCCGAUUUCUGGUCGACGGUAAUAAACCAAUCAUAACGAGUCCAUUUCAAAACCCGCCAACGUUCUCAGAAAACGCCUUUCUUCAGAAUUAUUUCUCUUCUUCAGUGUUCAUCCGAUUCAGACACCAUCGAAGGGGACCUCUCUGGCGGCGAUGUCGUCAUCUUCAGGCCGCCGACGGAGCACCGGUUUCUGAUGGUCCGGAGGCUGAUUGCGCUGCCGAGGGAAUGGAUCCAAGUCGCGGAGAAGGGAGAUUCCGUAGGGGCACUGCUGGGUGGAAGGGGACAAUGCCGGCAUCAGCUGGGACUCGAGAUUCUAUGGCCAUGUAGGCAUAUAUGUCUCCCAUGAAUUUUACCCUUCUUCCAGUAAGUGGCAUUGUGAGUGGGGCCAUAAAAGAGAUUAUUUGUUACUGUGUUCAACCAAAUUUGAGCUUACAGUUCAGUACUGUAAUAGCUUUGAAUACAAUUUUUUUCUGGUAAAGUGGGGCAGUAAGAAAUA